CUUCUUUUGGCGGAGUUCUUGUUUGUCAAUUUUUUCUUUCGGUCUGAUAUAAGAAGAUUCAAAUCACUGCUGUGUUCUGAUAGACCGGAAAUUGAGUGGUAGUCGAAGCUGAACGUUUGAAGCAAAUUCACUAUCGGAUGCCAAAUUGAUCAGUGUUGGUACUGGUGGUUUUUCGGUGUAUUUAUUUUCUCUUUUUGGUGUAAACCUGGGAUUUAAUCCCUUUGUAUAUAUAAUAUAAUUUGCCAUUAAAAAAAAAAACUAUUGUGUUCUGAUAUAAUAUUUGGGCUUUUACUCUUUAUAAGUCUAUGUGAGAAAGUGUUAGAUCUAUAGCUUUGAGUAGAGAUGAUUCUGAUUUAAUUUGGUGCUGGAAGAAUUAUUCCUUCAAUAAUUUGCUAAAGUCAAAUUGGAGAAGCUUUGGAUAUCUGAUUGCAUGUUGAAUGUUUGGUUUUUCCAGAUUUUUUUUUUAUUCAAUCGUGAUUUGGGUUGCAUGUAUUUAGAAACUUACUUUUAUGAUUUUGAGGGUUUGAUUUGUUGUUUGGUGAUUUCGGUUUGUGGUUUGGCUGGUUGUUGCAUGUCUCUAAAACUGAAGUGUUUGGCUUUGUUGUUUGUUGAUUCUGGGUUGUUUUUGUUUUGAUUCUGUUUUUAGUGUGGUUUUAUUUUUGUUUGUGAUAUUUCUAUACAUGUAACUUGUGAAAAAAUUGAAUCUUUUGAGAUUAAAUCAUACUUAGUGUAAAUUGCACACAAGGUGUUUGUGAAAUUUAUUAAAAUUGGUGAUACAUGAAUUGGACUUAAAAAUUGAUGUCACAGAAAUAUUUUUGCUUUUUGCAAUAUUAGAAUGAAAAAUUCAAUGAUGAAAACUUAAUGUUGUAGACAGAAAAUUCAUGAUACAUUGAGUGAAAAUUCAUGCCCUGAUUAAUGAUGUUGUUCUUUGUUUUGUUUUGGUGUUGGAUAGUUCAUGCAAAGAGCAGCUGCAAGAGAAGAGAAAGUAGAAGAAGAGGUCAAGCAUGAUGUUAGUUUUGGUUCAACCCCAAUAAUUUCUAGAAAAUGGUAAUUUUUUUUUCUUUCAAUAAAUUCAAAAAUGUGUAUUUUUAUUUUAUUUUUUUAUGCACAUAAAAAAAUAUUUUGAAUUUGAUUUGCUAAAUUGAAAUGUAAGUUGUAUGAUCCUUUUGAAAACGAGGGUGGCAUUUAGCUUGGACCAGUUGAAGAAUUGGGACCAAUUUUUUUAAUGUUUAGAUUAGACAAUCCACCAAAUCUUAUCAGUUAUCAUACUCUACCCACACCCUAUCUAAGCCAUCACCAACUCUAUCUCCUUCCUUGCUCUUUCUCUCUCUUGGUACUUUUUUCAUUUGUUUCUUAUUAUUCCAUUUUUAUAUCAAUACUAUUCAACAACUCCCAUGUAGUUCCAUUGAAAGGGUGAUGGUUUCAAAUAAGUAGUCAUACCAAUAUAUAGCUAAAUCACAUAAUUAUUAUGGUCAUUGAUUGAAACUGAUCUUAAGCACAUAAGAACUUUUUUAUGGAUUAUUCCUCUCAUAGGAUAAUAUUAAUGUAAUGUUUCUACGUGAUUUCUUUGCCUGCUCUGGCACAUAGGGAGAAGGAAAUUACCAAAGCUUUGAAAUGAACUAGUGCACAACCGUGAAAUGGAAUUUUUUUCAAACUUUGAAAGCCGAGUUCAAGAAGAUUCUUUGAUGAUUACUCUCCUUUUACCAAAAAAUAAGGCUAAAAUAUGGUUUUAGUCCCUGCAAAUAUGCCUCGUUUUGGUUUUAGUCCCUGGUAAAAAAAAAAAAUUGAUUUUGGUCCCUACAAAAUUUUUUGUUUUUGAAAAUAGUCCCUGAGGGACUAUUUUCAAAAACAAAAAAUUUUACAGGGACCUUUUUUAAAAACAAAAUAUUUUGCAGGGACCAAAAACUAUAAAAUUGGUUCAGUUAUAAUGUGUCACGUAUGCAAAUCAUCACAAAAGUGGGGUCAGGGACUAUUUUCAAAAACAAAAAAUUUUGCAUGGACCAAAAACAAUUUUUUUUUUUACCAGGGACUAAAACCAUAUUUUAGCCAAAAAAAUAAGUUAGAUUGAGAGGAGUACAUUUGAAUUGAAACUCAAAUAGCAGGUAAAUCUAAAAUAAAAAAACUGCAAGUUCCAUGUUGUUUCCACUACUGAUUUUUUUUUUGUGUACAAACGAGUGGAAUUUUUAACUGUUUUUAUAAUUUAAGAAAAUAUUUUGCAAAAAAAGUGCCAAAAUUAAUAUUAAAAAGUAUGUCCAAUCCAAUUGAAAAUACAGUUGAAAUCUGAUUAUGAUAACCAAAAUAUAAGCUUCUAUAGAGUUUUUUUCCAGUUUGAUAGAGUUUGCAAAAGAGAGAUAAAGUUGAUGUGGUGUGGGUUAAAAUAUUGAUAGGACAUGAUAAGUUUUGGUGGAGUGCUAAAAUCUAACCAUGAAAAAAAUAGGUCCAUUAUGGACCAACUUUUUUACAGGUCCAUUAAGAGAACUGUUCAACCAUACUUCAGAGAGUAAUAUGCUUAUUUAUGGGAACUUAAACUUAUUUAUCUUUUAACUGGUCAAUGUAUCAAUAAAGAAGACAUAUACCAAUUGAAUGAGUGACUAAGUAUAAUCAGUAUAUAUAUGCUUUGUAAUGUUAUAAUUCUACCAGGUUUAGUUUACAUGAGCUAUUGAAUAUUAGAGCCUAUGUAUCAACACUAUGACUCACUCUAAAUCUCUAAUUAGUUUUUUUCUUCAGAAAAAAUGAUUGGGUAGGAAUAGGAUAUCAUAAAUUCUAAGCCAGUGCUGUCAAAUAAGCGCUCUAUACACUACAAGAAAACACUUGAUUUCCUAGGAAAAAAUUCCUCGGAAAACACACCUAUUUCGUCUUAAAGCACUGUUUUCCUAGGGAUUAUCGAGGAAACUAGUUGUAGGAAAUUUUGGAUCUAUUCCUACGAGUUUUUCGAGGAAUUUCCGAGGAAAUGAUGUUUUCGAUGAAUUUGCCGAGGAAAGUUUGGUAGGAAAGCAUUUUGCAGACUGUCAAAACUGACACACGCUUUCCGACGAAAUUUUGGUAGGAAAGCAUUUUGCAGAAUGUCAUCACUGACACACGCUUUCCGACGAAACUUUCUUAGGAUAAAUUCAUAUUUAAAAACGAAAUUAAGAUCCAAAUUUUGAUUUUGAAAAAGGCGCCAAAUAAUUCAAAAGAUGUGCCAAAAUAUUUGGCGCCAAAAUUUCAGAAAAAAUCAAAUUUAAAAAAAAAAAUGAAAAUAAAUAAAGUGCGCCAAAAUUUCAAAAACAACCAAUUUUUUUUUGAGAAUUUGUUUCCUAUAAACACAUAAUGUUAGAUAAUAAUUACAUAAAACAAAAUUCAUAAAGACAACUAGAAUUUUCUUUGACAGUGGUACAUCACCACUGCAAACCACAUAAAACACCCCAAAAGUGCCCCAAAUCAGUCCCUAACCAAAAAACCUGCUAAAAACAACACCGAAAUACACAACAAGAAUAUAUAUUACUCGCUAUGAUCAUCAUCCCUCUCCUCGUCCUCAUCAUCAUCAAUGUUGUCGUCGUCAUGUGUUCGGUCUUCUUGAACCGACGGUGAUGAUUGACUCGAUGGCGACGAUGAUUCUGAUGUUUUCCUACUCUUCAUGCCACCCAUCCUUUUUGUAACCAUCCUUUUGACUCAUUCUCUGAUUCUUCUUUCUUUGCCAACGCCUCCUUUUGAGAUUGCAACUCUUGGUUCAUUCGUUGUAUCAUUGUUUGCAUCUCAAGAGGCAGCUCUCUAGAACGAGAUGAGGACUCUGGUGGAGGAGUGUAACGCCCUAUUUAAUUAUUUAAUUUAUUUUGCCUGAUUGUGGUUCUUUUAUAUGACUUACAUGAAUUAUGUUGAUUUUGUGGUGUGUUGUAUUUUAUUAAAUGAUGUAUUUUUAUUAUUUAUUAGAAUAUGUGAGAAUUAGAAAUAAUUGGAGUUUAGAGGCUAAAUUAGAAAUAAGGAGAGUUGUGUGGAGUUAAUUAAAAUAAUUGGGAGUUAAGAUAAGAGAGAAGUUAGAAAAACAGUUUCACGUAGAAACAAGCUUUUGGGAGAAAAAGGGAGAAGAGCCAAGAUAGCCAAGUGAAGAACCGGAGAGAUUGUAGAGUUUUGUUCAUCUGAUUUAAAGUAAGGGUGAGGCUAACUCUCAAUAAUCAUAGUGUAUAUAAAUUCUGAGAUUGAUUUAACAUGUGGGUUGUUUUUGAUUUUGGGAAUUGGGAAUUAGGUUUUUCAAUUGUUGAAUUUUGAUUAGAAAAGUGUAGAAACCGUGGCAAUUGUUAGAAUGUGUUCAGGUUAUAGGUAGAAUCAUAUAACAUUGUUGUAAUCAGUUUUGGGGAUUGAAUUGGGGAAAAUUGGGGCUUUUGGUGAAAAACUGCAGAAUUCACGUAGUCAGACCUGACACAGCUCGCCAUGGCGAGUAAGCUGACUCGCCUGGCGAGUAAGCCAUUUCAUCGCUCGCCACAGCGAAUGAUUGCUCGCCAUUGCGAGUUAACCGGUAGGUGAAAUCAUGAUUUUUAAAAUGUUGUUUUUAGGUCGUGUUUUGGAUGGUUUUGACUGCCUUGACAUGUAUAGAAAGGACUAGGCAAGUUUUUGGAUCAAAAAGGGGAUUAGAGAGCUUAAAAAUGGGGAUUUGGUGUGAAAAUAAUCAAAUGGCCGAGAGCAAGCAGUUUCUGCUCGCCACGACGAACAACUUACUUGCCAUGGCGAAUCACCCAUUUUCUUGAGCUGGCCAUAGCGAGCAGUGCUCUCGCCUGGCGAAUUUCUCAAUGGCUGAAGCCACAUUUUGUGUUUUGUGUACCUUGACGUGCGUGCUGUUUAGUUGAUUCUUUUGGUUAUAAUAAUGAUUAUAUAUGACUACAUUAUUUUACCAAGAACAUGAUUGAUUAUUGAUUAAUGAAUUAUAUAUAUGACCAUGUGAAUAUAUACUACGUUGAUGAAUGUCGUUGUUAAAAGUCGUUGUGCCGCAGUUGACCAAGUUGUGGAGUAAGUCUGAUUAUUUAUGCAUAGUUGUUGUUGUCUUCGUCGUUGUCCACAUUGUCGUUGAUGUUGCUGAGUUGUAUGUUGAUAUACACAAAGUCGAGUCCAUUGCAUACUCAUUUUUUGUUGAGGGCUCAUGCCCUGUGAAUGCUAGUUCAUUCAAAAUUGUUGAGGGCUUAUGCCCUGUGAAUGCUCGUUCAUUCAAACACGUUGAAAUGGUACCACAUGCAUGUUGCAUUGUCGCAUUAGUCGUGUGUCGUUGCAUAGUCGUCGUUGUUGUUGUUGUUGGUUGAGUUGUCGGUGUUGUUGUGUUGAUUAAGUAUGAAACAUUACUGUUGAAUAUCUGUUAUUAAUUAUGUUGUUAGAUAUAGUUGAUGAUUUAUAUAUCUAUUAUUAUUGUUUGUGAAUCUCACCCCUUCAGCUUGGAAAUUGUUGCCUUUGCAUGGGUAACUUGCAGGUGACCAAGAAUAGUUGCAGUCGUGAGUGGAUUCUCUCGCGUGUGUCUUAGGUGCUCUGGUACGUAACGGGAUGGGAAUUUUAUUGUUGUUUUCUGUUCGUUACGUAUUAAUCAAUGAACUUUCAUGAACAUGUUGUUGGAAUAAAUUUUAUGAGAUUUUACCGUUGAGGCCUUUGUGCCAAGGUUUUUUAGAUGUUGAAUAAUUUCCGCUGCGAUGUAAUAAAUGAUAUGUUGUUGAAGUUGAAUUAAU
rnacentral:lncRNA from 1 species